CUCAAUCAGAGAAAGAUAAAAGUAAAAAAAACAGCCAAGCCAUAGAUGUUGAUGACAAGGCUGAACAACGUCCUAUUGGGAGGGAAUCAGCCAAGCAAGAACGCAGAGGAAAGAGAAAGGCAGAUCAGGUUAUGGAUGGUAUUGAAAUCCUUGGAGAAAAUAUAAAUAAAAUUGUUGAAGUUACGCAAGAGCGUAAGAAGGAGCGUGAGCAAACGAUAGAGGCACAACUUGAGAUCUGUAGGAUGAAUCUGCAGACUGCAAAAGACCACAAGGAAGCAAAGUUACUCGAAGCUUAUACUGCUUUGCUGGCUCGAGACACAAGUCAGAUGUCAGCCGAAGGGAAGAUUAGCCACGAGAAGACAUUGCUCAAGAUGGAGAAGAUGAUUUUCAAAAAUGAUGAUGAACCCUAAUGGUGAUGGCAUAUGUGCAAGGAUAUCAAUUGGGAGGCUUGUGCUUUUGGUCAGUUACUUAGGAAUGGGAACUGCUCCUUUCUUAAUUAUGCGAAUGCGAACUGGUCCUUUUGUUUGCUAUGUGAAUGUGAACUGCUGCUACUUUAUUUAUUAUGUGAAUGCCACUGUCA